rnacentral:rRNA from 1 species
UACGAAGGGGGCUAGCGUUGUUCGGAAUCACUGGGCGUAAAGGGCGCGUAGGCGGCCGAUCAAGUCGGGGGUGAAAGCCUGUGGCUCAACCACAGAAUGGCCUUCGAUACUGGUUGGCUCGAGACCGGAAGAGGUGAGUGGAACUGCGAGUGUAGAGGUGAAAUUCGUAGAUAUUCGCAAGAACACCAGUGGCGAAGGCGGCUCACUGGUCCGGUUCUGACGCUGAGGCGCGAAAGCGUGGGGGGCAAACAGG